AAUAGAUACCCGGUAGUCCACGCCGUAAACGAUGAGUGCUAAGUGUUGGGGGGUUUCCGCCCCUCAGUGCUGCAGCUAACGCAUUAAGCACUCCGCCUGGGGAGUACGGUCGCAAGACUGAAACUCAAAGGAAUUGACGGGGGCCCGCACAAGCGGUGGAGCAUGUGGUUUAAUUCGAAGCAACGCGAAGAACCUUACCAGGUCUUGACAUCCCGGUGACCACUAUGGAGACAUAGUUUCCCCUUCGGGGGCAACGGUGACAGGUGGUGCAUGGUUGUCGUCAGCUCGUGUCGUGAGAUGUUGGGUUAAGUCCCGCAACGAGCGCAACCCUUAUUCUUAGUUGCCAUCAUUCAGUUGGGCACUCUAAGGAGACUGCCGGUGAUAAACCGGAGGAAGGUGGGGAUGACGUCAAAUCAUCAUGCCCCUUAUGACCUGGGCUACACACGUGCUACAAUGGACGGUACAAACGGUUGCCAACCCGCGAGGGGGAGCUAAUCCGAUAAAACCGUUCUCAGUUCGGAUUGUAGGCUGCAACUCGCCUACA
rnacentral:rRNA from 1 species